UACGAAGGGGGCUAGCGUUGUUCGGAAUCACUGGGCGUAAAGCGCACGUAGGCGGAUUUGUCAGUCGGGGGUGAAAUCCCGAGGCUCAACCUCGGAACUGCCUCCGAUACAGCAAAUCUCGAGUCCGGGAGAGGUGGGUGAAAUUCCUAGUGUAGAGGUGAAAUUCGUAGAUAUUAGGAAGAACACCAGUGGCGAAGGCGGCCCACUGGCCCGGUACUGACGCUGAGGUGCGAAAGCGUGGGGAGCAAACAGG
rnacentral:rRNA from 1 species